GGGUAUAUUCUGGCUAGCUUUAGUUGGUGACUCUGUUGAGGACUGCAACCUAGUUGCAAGAAGGAGUUGAGCCUAUUUUUUAUUGCUUUCUUGUUUGUUUGGGUGUUUAUUUUCAUGUUUUUCUUGCUUUUAUCAUCAUUUUUGUUUAUUGCAUUUAUUUUAUUGCUUUAGAUAUUAAUUUGCUAACUCAUUCUGGAUAUUUGUAUUUUGUUGUUAUUGGGUUAAGCUGAUGUUACUUGAGAGAAG
rnacentral:lncRNA from 1 species